rnacentral:rRNA from 1 species
UACGUAGGGUGCAAGCGUUGUCCGGAAUUAUUGGGCGUAAAGAGUUCGUAGGCGGUCUGUCGCGUCUGCUGUGAAAACUCAGGGCUUAACCCUGAGCUUGCAGUGGGUACGGGCAGACUAGAGUGCGGUAGGGGAGACUGGAAUUCCUGGUGUAGCGGUGAAAUGCGCAGAUAUCAGGAGGAACACCGGUGGCGAAGGCGGGUCUCUGGGCCGUAACUGACGCUGAGGAGCGAAGGCAUGGGGAGCGAACAGG